AAUAAGGAUUUUAUGGAUAUAAUAAGCAAGUCAGGCAACUGACUACGGCACUAGAGGCGGUACGAAAUAGAUAUUUUGGACCUGGGGGCAGUACCCAGCACCUCCACCAAUUCGCAAAACAUAUUCUGAGUUUUAAGAACUCGAGAAAUGUAAUUUAACGGGGGUGAAACAGGAUUGACAGGAUAUAGUAAAGGUAUUUUAGCUGUGCCCGGUGAGAUACCACCGUUAUCGGUUCAAAUUUAAAUGAAUGCUAACGAUAAUAACGUAGCACCGGUUGCAAUCGCUGCUUAGUGAACGCAACAAACGUAAAUUCUCAUAACUUUGGUUAGUUUUGAGUGGGGAAUGGGCCGCCCAGCAACAGAACGGCC
rnacentral:tmRNA from 1 species